ensembl:lncRNA
GCAGCGACUAUUUAUUAUUUGUGAGGCUUCUUGGAGGUUAUUUUUGUUUUCUCUUCUGUUUUGACGACAACCACCAUUGUUUUUUUGUAAAUAAACCAGUUAUAUCUACCCACAACUGAGAGUCUGGCGUUUUAUGAUACGGACCUUUGGUUUUUCGGGUCUGCCGUAACAGUGAGGAUGAGGAGGCACUCUGUCAGGUGUGUGUGUGUGUGUGUGAGGAGGGCACUCUGUCAGGUGUGUGUGUGUGUGUGUGAUGAGGGCACUCUGUCAGGUGUGUGUGUGUGUGUGUGAGGGUGAGGAGGGCACUCUGUCAGGUGUGUGUGUGUGUGUGUGUGUGUGUGUGUGUGUGUGUGUGUGUGUG